rnacentral:rRNA from 1 species
AGUGAACGCUGGCGGUAGGCCUAACACAUGCAAGUCGAACGGCAGCACAGUAAGAGCUUGCUCUUACGGGUGGCGAGUGGCGGACGGGUGAGGAAUACAUCGGAAUCUACUUUUUCGUGGGGGAUAACGUAGGGAAACUUACGCUAAUACCGCAUACGACCUACGGGUGAAAGCAGGGGAUCUUCGGACCUUGCGCGAUUGAAUGAGCCGAUGUCGGAUUAGCUAGUUGGCGGGGUAAAGGCCCACCAAGGCGACGAUCCGUAGCUGGUCUGAGAGGAUGAUCAGCCAGAUUGGAACUGAGACACGGUCCAGACUCCUAAGGGAGGCAGCAGUGGGGAAUAUUGGACAAUGGGCGCAAGCCUGAUCCAGCCAUACCGCGUGGGUGAAGAAGGCCUUCGGGUUGUAAAGCCCUUUUGUUGGGAAAGAAAAGCAGCAGGUUAAUACCCCGCUGUUCUGACGGUACCCAAAGAAUAAGCACCGGCUAACUUCGUG